rnacentral:rRNA from 1 species
AUUGAACGCUGGCGGCAUGCCUAACACAUGCAAGUCGAACGGCAGCACGGCAGUAGCAAUACUGUGGGUGGCGAGUGGCGGACGGGUGAGGAAUACGUCGGAAUCUGCCCAGUCGUGGGGGAUAACUAGCCGAAAGGUUAGCUAAUACCGCAUACGACCGAGAGGUGAAAGCGGGGGACCGCAAGGCCUCGCGCGAUUGGAUGAGCCGACGUCGGAUUAGCUAGUUGGUGGGGUAAAGGCCCACCAAGGCGACGAUCCGUAGCUGGUCUGAGAGGAUGAUCAGCCACACUGGAACUGAGACACGGUCCAGACUCCUACGGGAGGCAGCAGUGGGGAAUAUUGGACAAUGGGCGCAAGCCUGAUCCAGCAAUGCCGCGUGUGUGAAGAAGGCCUUCGGGUUGUAAAGCACUUUUAUCAGGAACGAAAAGCGUUGGACUUAAUACUCUGACGUGCUGACGGUACCUGAGGAAUAAGCACCGGCUAACUUCGUG